rnacentral:rRNA from 1 species
AUUGAACGCUGGCGGCAGGCCUAACACAUGCAAGUCGAACGAGUGGCGGACGGGUGAGUAAUGUCUGGGAAACUGCCCGAUGGAGGGGGAUAACUACUGGAAACGGUAGCUAAUACCGCAUACCAUCGGAUGUACCCAGAUGGGAUUAGCUAGUAGGUGGGGUAACGGCUCACCUAGGCCACGACCCCUAGCUGGUCUGAGAGGAUGACAGGCCACACUGGAACUGAGACACGGUCCAGACGCCUACGGUAGGAAGCAGUGGGGAAUAUUGCACAAUGGGCGAAAGCCUGAUGCAGCCAUGCCGCGUGGAUGAAGAAGGCCUUCGGGUUGUAAGGUACUUUAAGCGAGGAGGCGUUACUCGCAGAAGAAGCACCGGCUAACUCCGUGCCAGCAGCCGCGGUAAUAC